rnacentral:rRNA from 1 species
GGGUUGUGAGGUUAAGCGACUAAGCGUACACGGUGGAUGCCCUGGCAGUCAGAGGCGAUGAAGGACGUGCUAAUCUGCGAUAAGCGUCGGUGAGGUGAUAUGAACCGUUAUAACCGGCGAUUUCCGAAUGGGGAAACCCAGUGUGUUUCGACACACUAUCAUUAACUGAAUCCAUAGGUUAAUGAGGCGAACCGGGGGAACUGAAACAUCUAAGUACCCCGAGGAAAAGAAAUCAACCGAGAUUCCCCCAGUAGCGGCGAGCGAACGGGGAGGAGCCCAGAGCCUGAAUCAGUGUGUGUGUUAGUGGAAGCGUCUGGAAAGGCGCGCGAUACAGGGUGACAGCCCCGUACACAAAAAUGCACAUAUUGUGAGCUCGAUGAGUAGGGCGGGACACGUGGUAUCCUGUCUGAAUAUGGGGGGACCAUCCUCCAAGGCUAAAUACUCCUGACUGACCGAUAGUGAACCAGUACCGUGAGGGAAAGGCGAAAAGAACCCCGGCGAGGGGAGUGAAAAAGAACCUGAAACCGUGUACGUACAAGCAGUGGGAGCCUCUUAAUGGGGUGACUGCGUACCUUUUGUAUAAUGGGUCAGCGACUUAUAUUCUGUAGCAAGGUUAACCGAAUAGGGGAGCCGAAGGGAAACCGAGUCUUAACUGGGCGUUAAGUUGCAGGGUAUAGACCCGAAACCCGGUGAUCUAGCCAUGGGCAGGUUGAAGGUUGGGUAACACUAACUGGAGGACCGAACCGACUAAUGUUGAAAAAUUAGCGGAUGACUUGUGGCUGGGGGUGAAAGGCCAAUCAAACCGGGAGAUAGCUGGUUCUCCCCGAAAGCUAUUUAGGUAGCGCCUCGUGAAUUCAUCUCCGGGGGUAGAGCACUGUUUCGGCAAGGGGGUCAUCCCGACUUACCAACCCGAUGCAAACUGCGAAUACCGGAGAAUGUUAUCACGGGAGACACACGGCGGGUGCUAACGUCCGUCGUGAAGAGGGAAACAACCCAGACCGCCAGCUAAGGUCCCAAAGUCAUGGUUAAGUGGGAAACGAUGUGGGAAGGCCCAGACAGCCAGGAUGUUGGCUUAGAAGCAGCCAUCAUUUAAAGAAAGCGUAAUAGCUCACUGGUCGAGUCGGCCUGCGCGGAAGAUGUAACGGGGCUAAACCAUGCACCGAAGCUGCGGCAGCGACACUAUGUGUUGUUGGGUAGGGGAGCGUUCUGUAAGCCUGUGAAGGUGUACUGUGAGGUAUGCUGGAGGUAUCAGAAGUGCGAAUGCUGACAUAAGUAACGAUAAAGCGGGUGAAAAGCCCGCUCGCCGGAAGACCAAGGGUUCCUGUCCAACGUUAAUCGGGGCAGGGUGAGUCGACCCCUAAGGCGAGGCCGAAAGGCGUAGUCGAUGGGAAACAGGUUAAUAUUCCUGUACUUGGUGUUACUGCGAAGGGGGGACGGAGAAGGCUAUGUUGGCCGGGCGACGGUUGUCCCGGUUUAAGCGUGUAGGCUGGUUUUCCAGGCAAAUCCGGAAAACCAAGGCUGAGGCGUGAUGACGAGGCACUACGGUGCUGAAGCAACAAAUGCCCUGCUUCCAGGAAAAGCCUCUAAGCAUCAGGUAACAUCAAAUCGUACCCCAAACCGACACAGGUGGUCAGGUAGAGAAUACCAAGGCGCUUGAGAGAACUCGGGUGAAGGAACUAGGCAAAAUGGUGCCGUAACUUCGGGAGAAGGCACGCUGAUAUGUAGGUGAAGCGACUUGCUCGUGGAGCUGAAAUCAGUCGAAGAUACCAGCUGGCUGCAACUGUUUAUUAAAAACACAGCACUGUGCAAACACGAAAGUGGACGUAUACGGUGUGACGCCUGCCCGGUGCCGGAAGGUUAAUUGAUGGGGUUAGCGGUAACGCGAAGCUCUUGAUCGAAGCCCCGGUAAACGGCGGCCGUAACUAUAACGGUCCUAAGGUAGCGAAAUUCCUUGUCGGGUAAGUUCCGACCUGCACGAAUGGCGUAAUGAUGGCCAGGCUGUCUCCACCCGAGACUCAGUGAAAUUGAACUCGCUGUGAAGAUGCAGUGUACCCGCGGCAAGACGGAAAGACCCCGUGAACCUUUACUAUAGCUUGACACUGAACAUUGAGCCUUGAUGUGUAGGAUAGGUGGGAGGCUUUGAAGUGUGGACGCCAGUCUGCAUGGAGCCGACCUUGAAAUACCACCCUUUAAUGUUUGAUGUUCUAACGUGGGCCCCUUACCGGGGUUGCGGACAGUGUCUGGUGGGUAGUUUGACUGGGGCGGUCUCCUCCUAAAGAGUAACGGAGGAGCACGAAGGUUGGCUAAUCCUGGUCGGACAUCAGGAGGUUAGUGCAAUGGCAUAAGCCAGCUUGACUGCGAGCGUGACGGCGCGAGCAGGUGCGAAAGCAGGUCAUAGUGAUCCGGUGGUUCUGAAUGGAAGGGCCAUCGCUCAACGGAUAAAAGGUACUCCGGGGAUAACAGGCUGAUACCGCCCAAGAGUUCAUAUCGACGGCGGUGUUUGGCACCUCGAUGUCGGCUCAUCACAUCCUGGGGCUGAAGUAGGUCCCAAGGGUAUGGCUGUUCGCCAUUUAAAGUGGUACGCGAGCUGGGUUUAGAACGUCGUGAGACAGUUCGGUCCCUAUCUGCCGUGGGCGCUGGAGAACUGAGGGGGGCUGCUCCUAGUACGAGAGGACCGGAGUGGACGCAUCACUGGUGUUCGGGUUGUCAUGCCAAUGGCACUGCCCGGUAGCUAAAUGCGGAAGAGAUAAGUGCUGAAAGCAUCUAAGCACGAAACUUGCCCCGAGAUGAGUUCUCCCUGAGACUUAGAGUCUCCUGAAGGAACGUUGAAGACGACGACGUUGAUAGGCCGGGUGUGUAAGCGCAGCGAUGCGUUGAGCUAACCGGUACUAAUGAACCGUGAGGCUUAACCUUACAACGCCGAAG